rnacentral:rRNA from 1 species
GACGAACGCUGGCGGCGUGCCUAAUACAUGCAAGUCGAACGCAGUGGGGACGGGUGAGUAACACGUGGGUAACCUCCGAUCAGAGGGUAUAACACUGGGAAACAGGUGCUAAACCGAUACUGAUGGAUGGACUCGCGGUGGAUUAGCUAGUUGGUGAGGUAACGGCGCACCAAGGCCACGAUGCAUAGCCGGCGUGAGGGGAUGAUCGGCCGACCUGGAACUUGGACACGGACCAGACUCCUACAGGAGGCAGCAGUAGGGAAUCUGCGGCAAUGGACGAAAGUCUGACCGAGCAACGCCGCGUGAGUGAAGAAGGUUUGCGGGCCGUAAAGCUCUGUUAUUAGAGAAACGGUAUCUAAACAAGAAGCCACGUCUAACUACGUGCCAGCAGCCGCGGUAAUAC